rnacentral:rRNA from 1 species
GAUGAACGCUGGCGGCGUGCCUAAUACAUGCAAGUAGAACGCUGAAGCUUGGUGCUUGCACCGAGCGGAUGAGUUGCAAAGGGGGGAGUAACGCGUAGGUAACCUGCCUGUUAGCGGGGGAUAACUAUUGGACACGAGAGCUAAUACCGCAUAAAAGUUUACAUUGCGUGAUGUGGAUUUGAAAGAUGCAAUUGCAUCACUAAGAGAUGGACCUGCGUUGUAUUAGCUAGUUGGUGAAGUAACGGCUCACCAAGGCGACGAUACAUAGCCGACCUGAGAGGGUGAUCGGCCACACUGGGACGGAGACACGGCCCAGACUCCUACGGGAGGCAGCAGUAGGGAAUCUGCGGCAAUGGACGGAAGUCUGACCAAGCAACGCCGCGUGAGUGAAGAAGGUUUCCGGAUCGUAAAGCUCUGUUGUAAGAGAAGAAACAGUGUGAGAGUGGAAAGUUCACACUGUGACGGUAACUUACCAGAAAGGGACGGCUAACUACGUG